rnacentral:lncRNA from 1 species
GCUCCCUAUUCGGGAUCGGUAUUGGUGCUCCACUUCCCUGGGGGCAGGACACGUGGGUGGCUACUCCCUGAGCCCCCGUUCUCCCCUUGUGUCUUUCAGUGAGCUCUUCCAAACAGGUGGGCUCCCUAGCAUUGACCGACAGAGUGAGCUCUGCCACCCAGGACAUCCCCCUGGCAUUGACUGGCAUAGAUGCUGACCCUGGAGGAAGACUUGUGUCGGGCCCCCAGGCCCCAGGCCAGUGUCCAUCAGCCAGGUGCUCAGCUCCCAGUGCGCUGAAGCUCAGACCCUUCCUGGCACCCUGGUGUCCAGCACUGAGCUGUGUGAGCUUUUCCACCCAGGUGGGCCCCCUGGCAUUGACCGACAUAGUGGCAGGGAGAGCCAAGGGUGCCCCACAUUGGUGACGAGUCAGUAUUUUGCAUGGAUCUCAUCACACGUGACCAUGAAGGACGAGCAAGCAUGAGCUGGCACCAGCCACCCCCUUCUCCGCGUGGAGGGUGGUCACAUGUCCUCCACCUGUGCCCCCAGAUGAUGAGACUGGAGGAAGACUUCCAUUGGGCCCACUUUUCCUGGGCCAGUGUCCAUCAGCCAGGUGCUCAGCCCCUGGUGUACUGAAGCUCCAGCCUUUCCUGGUGCCCCAGUCUUCUGCACUAAGCUGUGUGAGCUCUUCCACCCAGGAGGGCCCCUUGGCAUUGACUGGCAUAGAUGGUGAGACGGGAGGAAGACUUGUGUUGGGCCUGCUGUUCCUGGGCCAGUGGCCAUCAGCCUGUUGCCCAGCCCCUGAGGCGCUGAAGCUCAGGCCCUUCCUCACACCCUGGUCUCCUGCACUAGCUGUGUGAGCUCUUCUGCCCAGGUGGGGCCCAUGGCCUUACACGACAUAGGAGCACGCAUUUCUUGAAGUCCUGCAAAGGUGAUGGUGGUCCAGACAGGAGAGGGUUCCUUCAGCCCAACAUAGCGCAGCUCCCAGCUGAAACUCGGAAGGCUGGUCAGGCCUCGAGGACUGCCCAGGCCACAUGAGGGUUUGGUGGCCGGGAGGGCCAAUGAUGCUCUGCGUCUGUGUUGGAUCAGUGUUCUUCAUGGAUUCCAUCACAUGGUGAGCCUUGAGGAAGACUUGUAUUGGGCCCCCACAGGCCCCAGGCCAGUGUCCGUCAGCCUGGUGCUCACCCCCAGUGUGCUGAAGCUCAGACCCUCCGUGGCACCCUGGUCUCCUGCACUGAGCUGUGUGAACUUUUCCUCCCAGAUGGGCCCCCUGGCAUUGACUGGCAUAGAUGGUGAGACCGGAGGAAGACUUGCAUUGGGCCUGUUGUUCCUGGGCCAGUGGCCAUCAGCCUGUUGCCCAGCCCCUGAUGCGCUGAAGCUCGGGCCCUUCCUCGCGCCCUGGUCUCCUGCACUGAGCUGUGUGAGCUCUUCUGCCCAGGUGAGGCCCAUGGCCUUAAGCGGCAUAGAUGGUGAGCCUGGAGGAAGACUUGUAUUGGGACCCUACAGGCCCCAGGCCAGUGUCUGUCAGCCUGGUGCUCAUCCCCCAGUGCGCUGAAGCUCAGACCCUCCCUGGCACCCUGGUCUCCUGCACUGAGCUGUGAUGGUGAGUCUGGAGGAAGACUUGUGUUGGACCCCCACAGGCCCCAGGCCAGUGUCCAUCAGCCUGGUGCUAAUCCCCCAGUGCUCUGGAGUUUGGACCCUCCCUGGCACCCUGGUCUCCUGCACUGAGCUGUGUGAGCUCUUCCACCCGGGCGGGCCCCCGGCAUUGACUGGCAUAGGUGGUGAGCCCGGAGGAGGACUUGCGUUCGGCCCGCUGGUCCCAGUGUGUCCGGAAUUGGUGGGUUCUUGGUCUCACUGACUUCAAGAAUGAAGCUGCGGACCCUCGCUAAAAGACUGUGGAGGAAGAAAACCCUUUACCCUGUUGUUCAGGGAGAAACUGACACCACUCAACUGCCUGGCACUGAAAAUGUGGCAUCCAGUCCACUUUACCAUCAGUGUUUAAGGAAACCAUCUCUGAUAAGGAUGACUGAGGAAGAGUACUCUUUGGCUUGUUGACACCAGCACAGCUGACACACCCAGAUAUCUGUUUGGUCUCCUGUGAACUUUCAACCAGGAUUUAAGGAUGCCACUCUGGUUAAAAGCUGAAACAACUUCAAGGAAACUUCAGGGAAAAGAGAAGGCCUGGAAUCUGAUCCUCCACUUCAGAGAACAGGGGUGGUGGAGUCUAUGGCCCUUCUCCUUGAAUCUGAGUGAAAUUAGUGAGUCUUUCAAUCCAAAGACUACAGUCAUACCUCAACUAUCUACAGAGGACUGGUUCCAGGACUCCCAUGGAUCCCAAAAUCCAAGGAUGCUUCGAAUCCCUUAUAUAAAAUGGCAUGGUAUUUGCAUAUAACCUACAUGCAUCUUCAAAUAUGUUAAACCAUCUCUAGAUUACUUAUAAUACCAAAUACAAUGUAAUGCUAUGUAAACAGUUGUUACAAUGUAUUGUCAAAGACAAGCUCUCCUUGCCAAUCCCUGACCAAAUGAGAGAUUCAUGAGCAAAAUAAAUAGUUGCUGAUAUUUAAGGCACUAAGUUUGGGGCAAUGUAUUACACAGCAAUAAAUAACUGGAACAGCAUAGUAAAUUCUAGUUAAAAAUACUAAACUACUAAGUUUUAGUUAACAUACAUGCUCAAGUUAAGGGUGUGGUAUACUAACAACUGCAACUUACUUUGAAAAGCAUAAAAAAAGACACUAGAAGAAGACAGGAUGGAUAGAUGGACAAGAUAGAAGACAAUAACAAAUAGAACAAAAUGUUGUGAAAUUAUAUUCUACAAUUAUUUUAAAGUCUGUGUGGUUUGAAAAAUUGUACGAUAAAAUGAAG